UGAAUACGAGACGCUAAGGCGUCGAAGUAGUGUAUGUCAUACUUCCAAGAAAAGCUUGCACUGUCAUAGAUAAAAAACGCCUGUACCAUAACCGACACAGGUGGGUAGGUAGAGUAUACUAAGGGGCGCGAGAUAACUCUCUCUAAGGAACUCGGCAAAGUAACUCCGUAACUUCGGGAGAAGGAGUGCCUUAUUAUUAAGGCUGCAAUAACAAGAUCCAAGCAACUGUUUAUCAAAAACACAGGUCUCCGCUAAGUCGUAAGACGAUGUAUGGGGGCUGACGCCUGCCCCGUGCCAGAAGGUUAAAGAAGUUGGUUAGCAUUUGCGAAGCUGAUAACUGAAGCCCUGGUGAACGGCGGCCGUAACAAUAACGGUCCUAAGGUAGCGAAAUUCCUUGUCGGGUAAGUUCCGACCCGCACGAAAGGCGUAAUGAUUUGGAUACUGUCUCGGAGAGGGGCUCGGUGAAAUAGACUUGUCUGUGAAGAUGCGGACUACCUGCACCAGGACAGAAAGACCCUAUGAAGCUUUACUGUAACUUGAAAUUGAAAUUGGACUUUAUUCGCGCAGCAUAGGUGGGAGGCUUGAUUAUAAUCUUGUGGGAUUAUUGGAGCCAUCAGUGAGAUACCACUCUUGUAAUGUUAGAUUUCUAACUUUGAAUCAUUAUCUGGUCAAAGAACAGUUUCAGGCGGGCAGUUUGACUGGGGCGGUCGCCUCCUAAACGGUAACGGAGGCGUACAAAGGUUUCCUCUGAACGGUUAGAAAUCGUAUCUAGAGUGUAAAGGCAUAAGGAAGCUUGACUGUGAGACCUACAAGUCGAGCAGGGACGAAAGUCGGUCUUAGUGAUCUGACGGUACUGAGUGGAAAGGCCGUCACUCAACGGAUAAAAGUUACUCUAAGGAUAACAGGCUGAUCUCCCCCAAGAGUUCACAUCGACGGGGAGGUUUGGCACCUCGAUGUCGGCUCAUCGCAUCCUGGGGCGGUAGUACGUCCCAAGGGUUGGGCUGUUCGCCCAUGAAAUCGGUACGCGAGCUGGGUUCAGAACGUCGUGAGACAGUUCGGUCCAUAUCCGGUGUAGGCGUUAGAAUAUUGAGAGGAGCCUUCUUUAGUACGAGAGGACCGAGAAGGACAUACCUCUGGUGUACCAGUUAUCGUGCCAACGGUAAACGCUGGGUAGCUAUGUAUGGAGUGGAUAACCGCUGAAAGCAUCUAAGUGGGAAGCCCACCUCAAGA
rnacentral:rRNA from 1 species